rnacentral:misc_RNA from 1 species
UGCUCACAUACUUCUCCAAAUUUAUAUACUGUUUGAGGCUUCCAAAUAUCACCAAGAACAUGAAACAAGAAGGAAAUAACAACAGACUCUGAGCCUCCAAUAAACCUGUAUGAAAAAUUAUAAGAACAUUUACUUACAGCAUUUUCCCUCUCCUUUUUCAAGAGAUAACACGUUCUGGUUGUUACAUAUCUAUCUAGUGAAUGCUCCAACAUUCAAUCAGACAGAAAUUUGUGAUUCAAUUCCAAGGGGUGUUGUAUUAUUUCGGCCAACUCCUACUUUGAUAUCAAGGUUAAGACAAAAAGAAACAGAAAAAAAAA